rnacentral:lncRNA from 1 species
AUGGAAGAUUCGAUGGACAUGGACGUGAGCCCCCUGAGGCCCAGAACUAUCUUUUCAGUUGUGAACUAAAGGCCGACAAAGAUGAUCACUUUAAGGUGGAUAAUGAUGAAAAUGAGCACCAGUUAUCCUUAAGAACGGUCAGUUUAGGGGCUGGUGCAAAGGAUGAACUGCACAUUGUUGAAGCAGAGGCAAUGAAUUAUGAAGGCAGUCCAAUUAAAUAACACUGGCACCUUUGAAAAUGUCUGUACAGCCAACAGUUUCCCUUGGGGUCUUUGAAAUAACACCACCAGUGCUUUUAUGGUUGAAGUGUGGUUCAGGGCCAGUGCAUAUUAGUGGACAGCAUUUAGUAGCUGUGGAGGAAGAUGCAGAGUCAGAAGAUGAAGAGGAGGAGGAUGUGAAACUCUUAAGGAUAUCUGGAAAGUGAUCUGUCCCUGGAGGUGGUAGCAAGAUUCCAGAGAAUAAAAGUAAAACUUGCUGCUGAUGAAGAUGAUGAUGAUGAUGAUGAUGAUGAUGAUGAUGAUUUUGAUGAUGAGGAAACUGAAGAAAAAGCACCAUUGAAGAAAUCUACAUACUCCAGCCAAAAAUGCACAAAAGUCAAAUCAGAAUAGAAAACACUCAAACCCAUCAUCAACACCAAGAUUAAAAGGACAAGAAUCCUUCAAAAAACAGGAAAAAACUCGUAAAACACCAAAAGGGCCUAGUUCUGUAGAAGACAUUAAAUCAAAAAUGCAAGCAAGUAUAGAAAAAGGUGGUUCUCUUCCCAAAGUGGAAGCCAAGUUCAUCAAUUAUGUGAAGAAUUGCUUCCGGACAACUGACCAGGAGACUAUUCAAGAUCCUGGCAGUGGAGGAAGUCU